CUACGGGAGGCUGCAGUGGGGAAUAUUGGACAAUGGGGGAAACCCUGAUCCAGCAAUGCCGCGUGUGUGAAGAAGGCCUGCGGGUUGUAAAGCACUUUCGGUUGGGAGGACUGCUUCUAGCACUAAUAUUGUUGGAAGUUGACGUUACCUUCAGAAGAAGCACCGGCUAACUCCGUGCCAGCAGCCGCGGUAAUACGGAGGGGUGCAAGCGUUAAUCGGAAUUACUGGGCGUAAAGCGCGCGUAGGCGGCGAGAUCAGUCGGGUGUGAAAGCCCCGGGCUUAACCUGGGAACUGCAUCCGAUACUGUCGAGCUUGAGGACAGGAGAGGAGAGUGGAAUUCCACAUGUGCGGUGAAAUGCGUAGAUAUGUGGAGGAACACCAAUGGCGAAGGCAGCUCUCUGGCCUGAUACUGACGCUGAGGUGCGAAAGCGUGGGGAGCAAACAGGAUUAGAUACCCCCGUAGUC
rnacentral:rRNA from 1 species